ACAUUGGUGGUUUUGGUAGAAAUCUUGCCUGCCAUGUGGGAGACCUGGGUUCGAUUCCCUGCUAAUGCA
rfam:Danio rerio chromosome 4, GRCz11 reference primary assembly.